UUCCAAAGUUCUGAGUUCAGUUCAGGGCAGCUUCCCUGUUCUGUUAAUUAAACUUUGGGACGUUGAAACUGGCUAGAGGAGAUGAGUGGAUAGAAGUAUUACUUUAUUUGUUUACCUCCCAGCCUACAGCA
rnacentral:snoRNA from 1 species